rnacentral:lncRNA from 1 species
ACAUAUAUCAAUUAAGGGCAGGGUAAUAAAAAUCCAGUUAACCGACCGUUCCUAGAGCAAGUGGCAAAGGGCUUGGUGGUUGGCACCCGAGACUCAAGUUCAAAUCCUAGCUGAUUAACAUUUCUAACUAAGUUUAUUUCUAAAUGAAAUAAACGAAGCGGGUAGCGUGUUACCUAUCUCUCAAAAAAAUAAAAGCCCAGAUAGUGUUUUG